rnacentral:rRNA from 1 species
GAUUUCUGGCGGAUCGAACUUGGCCGGCCACGGUUUCGUGUGUUAGUGCUUUGUUUUUUCGCCAUCCUUCCAAUGGCUAUUCAUCCUUCUUCAUUGAGGCGGUGAGUGGUAUUGGAUCUUUUACUUUGAAAAAAUUAGAGUGUUUCAAGCAGGCUUUAUGCUAUGAAUACAUUAGCAUGGAAUAAUAAUUUAGGACUUCGGUUCUAUUUUGUUGGUUUCUAGGACUGAAGUAAUGAUUGAUAGGGAUAGUUGGGGGUGCUAGUAUUCAGCGGCCAGAGGUGAAAUUCUCGGAUUCGCUGAAGACUAACUUAUGCGAAAGCAUU